rfam:TPA: Bos taurus chromosome X, whole genome shotgun sequence.
UCCCAGGUGGCUCAGUGGUAAAGAAUCUGCCUGCCAAGCAGGAAACUCGGGUUCAAUCCCUGGUUUGGGAA